GUUUACGGCCAUACCACCCUGAACACGCCCGAUCUCGUCUGAUCUCGGAAGCUAAGCAGGGUCGGGCCUGGUUAGUACUUGGAUGGGAGAGAGGAGUGUGGUCAGAAGGCAUGGCAGCUCCACUCC
ensembl:rRNA 5S_rRNA 5S ribosomal RNA